AGAGUUUGAUCCUGGCUCAGGACGAACGCUGGCGGCAUGCCUAAUACAUGCAAGUCGAGCGGACUUGAAAAGAAGCUUGCUUUUUUGAUGGUUAGCGGCGGACGGGUGAGUAACACGUAGGCAACCUGCCCUCAAGUUUGGGACAACUACCGGAAACGGUAGCUAAUACCGAAUAAUUGUUUUCUUCGCCUGAAGGAAACUGGAAAGACGGAGCAAUCUGUCACUUGGGGAUGGGCCUGCGGCGCAUUAGCUAGUUGGUGAGGUAACGGCUCACCAAGGCGACGAUGCGUAGCCGACCUGAGAGGGUGAUCGGCCACACUGGGACUGAGACACGGCCCAGACUCCUACGGGAGGCAGCAGUAGGGAAUCUUCCGCAAUGGGCGAAAGCCUGACGGAGCAAUGCCGCGUGAGUGAUGAAGGUUUUCGGAUCGUAAAGCUCUGUUGCCAGGGAAGAACGCUUGGGAGAGUAACUGCUCUCAAGGUGACGGUAGCUGAGAAGAAAGGCCCGGCU
rnacentral:rRNA from 1 species